UGAAAAGAGAUAUUAUGUGAAAGGGUGACAGUGAUUGGCACAUUGUGUGAAGUAAGUGUUAAAUAUUGUAUGCAUGUGCACACAAAUAGACAAAUGCAUCUCUGACCCACCCCUUAACAUGUUGCAGUCCUAUCUUGCUCAGCCACCCACCUCUGUACGCAGACAGCACUGAGAUCUUCUAAUUAAUACACAUUUCAGUCCAAAAUGAUGUCAUUUUCUCUGAAAAACAAAUAAACCUCUCUG
rnacentral:lncRNA from 1 species